rnacentral:rRNA from 1 species
AGGACGAACGCUGGCGGCGUGCCUAACACAUGCAAGUCGAACGAGGUUCAACCGGUAGCAAUACCGGUGAAGAUCGAGUGGCGAACGGGUGAGUAGCACGUGAGCAACCUGCCCCGAAGACCGGGACAACACCGGGAAACCGGUGCUAAUACCGGAUAUCCCCACCGAAUCGCAUGGUUUGGUGAGGAAAUGGAUUCCGCUUCGGGAGGGGCUCGCGGCCUAUCAGCUUGUUGGUGAGGUAACGGCUCACCAAGGCUUCGACGGGUAGCUGGUCUGAGAGGACGAUCAGCCACACUGGGACUGAGACACGGCCCAGACUCCUACGGGAGGCAGCAGUGGGGAAUCUUGCACAAUGGGCGAAAGCCUGAUGCAGCAACGCCGCGUGAGGGACGAAGGCUUUCUGAGUUGUAAACCUCUUUCAGCAGGGACGAUUGUGACGGUACCUGCAGAAGAAGCCCCGGCAACUACGUGCCAGCAGCCGCGGU